GCACCACUAUUAGUUGUUUCUUUCAUCGAUGAGGAUAGAAGAUUGCUUGACCCACCCUAGUCUUGACAGUGGGAUGUUUUGAUUUGGGGAAUUUAUUCAAUCAGUGUUCCCCCCAGCUUUUAUCCUUAAGUGCUUGCUCGUCGUCGUCCUUGCUAUUUUCAGUUGAUGGUUAACGCUGAUUAGGGUCUCUGUGUGUGAGGCCUCUGUUUAUUUUGCUUUCUGUUUUUGAACUUCCUUUUUGUGUUUUUGAUUGCUUUCGUGGACUGUCUUUCAGGUUCUAGUUUCAAUGAAGUAACCGGUUUUUCAUUCAAAAAAGAAUUUAG
rnacentral:lncRNA from 1 species